AAAGAAAGACCUAACUUGUAGGUUAAAACUACGUGUGUAAAACAAUCUAACUUGAUAUAUGCUCGCGUUCUUAAAAGCAUACACAUUUAUUUAUAUAUCAAUAUAUAAAGCAGUAAACUCAUUACCUGUAGAAUAUUAUUCUACUGGGUUACAUGCUCCCCCUACUAAAUAUCUCAUGUCCCCAUGAGAUUACUUUUUACACUUUAAAAGUGACUUUAGGCUCAGUAUAAGCAUUUACUUGAGCACAAUAUUUACACUGUGCCAUAGGGUGACACCACAGGGUGUUACAGGGUUUCAUUUCUGCCUCUUUCCCACCCUCUACAUGUAUCACCAUACCUCUAUGGACCAGUGUCAAAGGUCGGUUAGUGGGCCGGCCUAGGCUAUCAUAGCUCAGUCUGACAACUGGUCUUAUGUUUCUUUUGGGGCGGGAAUGAACAGUCUCUAAUGCUUCUUUAGCAUUAGCUAUGCCAGGCUCUCCCCAUUCUAAACCAGGAUCUCCCAUUUCCUCAAGAAUCUGAUCUGAGAGUUUUUCAUAGCUUUCUUCAGUGAACAUUGGCUCUGCCAUUUCUGCAAGAGAUCUAUCCAGUUCACCUCCAGGGUAAGCAGUUUCCUCCUCCACUGCAUUUUCUUCCAGUGCAACAUGCGGUGUCUCAACCCUGUCCGGGCAGUAAUACCACAGAUCUUGUCCUUGUCUCCGGUGGUGCAGAAACUUUCUUUGGUUCCCCAGUAUCAGCCAACCUCACAUGGUCUCCAACAGGAACUCAGAUGUGACUUGCCAGAGGGAGAUCCCGGACGAGCCCCCCACUUUGUGUAGCGCCCCCUACCUGUCUUUAUGUUGAUUAAAUAGGGCAGCGCACCAGAUUCAUUAACUAUGUGCCUACAGAUGUUGAAGUUAGGCCCCUCUGGUGUCACAAAUUAUUUACUUCUCCUUUAGAAGUUAUUAAUAAUUAUGUACUAUACUCAAAUGUAAUAUAUAUAAUAUAUUAUCUAUAUACUAUAAUAAAUAGUCAAGCACAAACUCUUAGAUAAGUAACAAAAUAUAAAGAAUUUAAUUAGAACAGAAGCAGAAAGUCAAAGAUAGAAUUUGAAUGCUGUGAUGUAUUCACACAAUCACAUAGACUUUAGAUCUGACCAAAUUAACCCCCCAAAAAAAGCUAUAUCUCAGGGGACAGGAGUACAGGAAUGGUCUCUGUAACAAAACACUCAGAAUUAAAGGAACGAGUGACUUCACUUGAAAUGAAAUGUACAAACUUAUUCACUCUGGAUGUCAGAAAUCACUUGGAAUAUUCACAGUUAAUAAGCACGCUGAAUAAACACAAUAUGAAAGAAAAUUAAACUUUGUGGGCCCACAUACACAAACAUAAACAUACACACACACCGUUGCAGGCCUGGAUCGUAGCUUGUGUUCGUGGUGGCGGGAAACUGACAAAUGGCCCCUUCACUCUCCUGAGCACAAACAAAAUCAACACUGGUACCUCAAUUUGAUGUGUGAAGCAAACCGCGAUCCUGGACUCCUGUAUUAGGCCUCCCGCAGCUCCUCGGUCUUGCUCUCUCGCCCGCCGAGGAAACGCUCCUCCCACGCAGCCAGAGGAACCCCAAAUAUCGCGGGUAUUUGGGGCGCUAUCUGGUCCUCAAUUUCCCCUGCGUCGUGCAGGAAACAACACUGCUUCACGGAUCAAUCGGUUCUGUGUAAAUGUUCCGCUAAUUUAACAGUCCGGUUCAGAUGAAUGACGUGUAACUGUUACUGGAUAUUAACGAACAGUCCGUGCGCGUGACUGACGAUUAAAGAUAACGGAAUGUCGUAUAAACACUCACAGCGAACU
ensembl:lncRNA